rnacentral:rRNA from 1 species
GAUGAACGCUGGCGGCGUGCUUAACACAUGCAAGUCGAACGGGAUCCCAGGAGCUUGCUCCUGGGUGAGAGUGGCGAACGGGUGAGUAAUGCGUGACCAACCUGCCCCAUACACCGGAAUAGCUCCUGGAAACGGGUGGUAAUGCCGGAUGCUCCAGUUGACCGCAUGGUCCUCUGGGAAAGCUUUUGCGGUAUGGGAUGGGGUCGCGUCCUAUCAGCUUGAUGGCGGGGUAACGGCCCACCAUGGCUUCGACGGGUAGCCGGCCUGAGAGGGCGACCGGCCACAUUGGGACUGAGAUACGGCCCAGACUCCUACGGGAGGCAGCAGUGGGGAAUAUUGCACAAUGGGCGCAAGCCUGAUGCAGCGACGCCGCGUGCGGGAUGACGGCCUUCGGGUUGUAAACCGCUUUUGACUGGGAGCAAGCCCUUCGGGGUGAGUGUAC